UUUUUUCUUGACCCUACAGGAUGCCCAGUGGAAACCAGCCUACCUUGUGGCUCAACAGAUGCCAGUGUACCCAAAUUCUGAGACACAAUUGGAUGUUCUUUUCUUCUGCUUUUAAGAUUCCCAAUUCGAGAUGAUGUGCAGUUCAUGUUAGAUUUGCUACUUCUAGAGUUACAGUGAAGUAGAAGAGUCCGGUCGUGUUAUGGGGCAGCAGUUAAAGAUGAAGGAUGGAGAGAUGUGUGCCAUGUUGAAGUAUCGGCUGGUCCUCCUGCCCGCUCUUCUAGAAUCCUUCAUCUCAACCUCUGCACUGAUGUGCUGUGCCUUUGCCAAGUGAUCAGGAGUUUAUUGCAAUGGUGCCCCCCUGUGUCUCCACCUUCUGUUACAUCAACUCCAACUGCCUGUGACAGAAGAAAAGUUCACAAGACGUCCUGAAAUGGAAUUGUGAUUGGAGUGAGACGCCACAAUUAUGUAUGCUGGGAUGUGCAGAGGAAUCUGUGUGGGCUUUGGCUUGGGACCCCCAGAGGUUUAUUAUCUCCAGUAUCCUUGAAGGCUGCAAGUUUGUCUUUGUCCCCAGCCAUUUGACCAGGCAGUGUAUUUAUUACAAAGGACAAGGACCCCUCCAUUUGCUUCUUAUUUACUUUUAUAAUGCCUUCAAUUUUCUUUGUAACUGUAUAUUUUUGUAGAGCAAUUUGAGCUAUACUUGUAAGCAAGGGUGAUAUAGAAAUAUUAUUAGUGAACAAAUGUUAAGGGACAGAUCAGGAAAAAUGUCAAGUUUAAAUAGAACACAUUUUUGAUGUAAUAUUGCUGGAUAAUAACUCUUUGACUCUGAGUAGCAUCUUGUUCAUAAAGCUAAAAUAUCAUUUUUCCUUUUUUGACAAAUUUAAUGAUUCACUUUUACUGUGUUCAAAACCUUGGCUAACAUUUUUUUUUAAAUAGUAAGGUAAAAAUCUGUAAACAUAUUUGUGUUCUUUUUCCCUAAUAAUUUUUAACACUUCCCCUUGUUGGCCAUUUUC